GACGAACGCUGGCGGCAGGCUUAACACAUGCAAGUCGAGCGCCUCGCAAGAGGAGCGGCAGACGGGUGAGUAACGCGUGGGAACGUGCCCUUCAGUUCGGAAUAGCUCCGGGAAACUGGAAUUAAUACCGGAUACGCCCCUAGGGGGAAAGAUUUAUCGCUGAAGGAUCGGCCCGCGUCAGAUUAGGUAGUUGGUGGGGUAAUGGCCUACCAAGCCGAUGAUCUGUAGGUGGUCUGAGAGGACGAUCACCCACACUGGGACUGAGACACGGCCCAGACUCCUACGGGAGGCAGCAGUGGGGAAUAUUGGACAAUGGGCGAAAGCCUGAUCCAGCCAUGCCGCGUGGAUGAAGAAGGCCCUAGGGUUGUAAAGUCCUUUCGGUGGUGAAGAUAAUGACGGUAACCACAUAAGAAGCCCCGGCUAAUUUCGUGCCAGCCGCCGCGGUAAU
rnacentral:rRNA from 1 species